AUGAACCUAGAACCUCUGGCUCUUAGGCCCCAGGGCCCUUUCUUCUAAUGUUAAUAACAGCAGGGAGUCAUCGAGCACCUCCAGUGUGCCAGGCAGUGUGCUAAACACGUCACUUAUUUACUGGACCCAAACUAAAGUCCCAAUCCAGAAAGGCUGAAUAUGGGACCUUGGAAAAGAGAAACCCCUUCCUCAGAACACUUCACUUCUGACACUCUGCUCACCAAAUGUGAAGGGGGUUUCCCCACACCAAGCAAUUCUGUGACACCAGCAAUUUAGCUCAAUUCUGACACUGUGUACCUGGAGAUAGCAUCAGAUCCUACAAGCUCUGGAGGCUAAGAAGUCCAAGAUCAAGGUGCUGGCAGAUUGGGUGUCUGGCGAGAGGGUUCACUUCCUAGAUGGCUGUCUUUUUGCUUUAACUCCGCAUGGUGGAAUGGUCGAGGACUUCUUGUAUAGGACACUCUUCCCAUUUAUGAGGGCUCCACCCUCAUGACCUAAUCACCUCCCAAAGGCCUCAUCUCCACACAUAUAACAUUGGGGAUUAGAUCUCAACAGAUGAACUUGAGGGAGACACAGAUAUUCAGUGCACAGUAUACUGUAUGAUUCCAAUUAUAUGACAUUCUGGAAAAGGCAAAAUUAUGGAGACAGUAAAAG